AUAGUACACAGUGGCUCUCUGCAAAACUUGCAGCUCAUAGUGUAAGCUUCAAAGAGCCCAAAAAUGGCGGAGAAGAAUCGAUUAGUCACCGUUGCUGCUUUGCAGUUCGCCUGUACCGACGAUGUCUCCACCAACGUCGCUACCGCCGAGAGAUUGGUUAGAGCUGCUCAUCAGAAGGGUGCAAAUAUCAUCCUCAUACAGGAGUUGUUCGAGGGCUAUUACUUUUGUCAAGCACAAAAGGAGGAGUUCUUUCAUCGAGCAAAACCAUAUCCGGGCCAUCCAACCAUUGUUAGGAUGCAGAAUCUUGCAAAGGAGCUUGGAGUAGUUAUUCCAGUUAGUUUCUUUGAAGAGGCAAAUAAUGCGCAUUACAAUUCUGUGGCUAUAAUUGAUGCUGAUGGCACAGAUCUUGGACUUUACAGGAAGUCCCAUAUUCCUGAUGGACCCGGUUAUCAGGAAAAGUAUUACUUCAAUCCCGGUGACACUGGUUUUAAGGUAUUCCAGACAAAAUAUGCAAAAAUUGGAGUUGCAAUUUGCUGGGAUCAGUGGUUUCCUGAGGCUGCUCGAGCUAUGGCACUUCAAGGUGCAGAAGUAUUGUUCUACCCUACUGCAAUUGGUUCUGAACCUCAAGAUGAUGGACUUGAUUCUCGGGAUCACUGGAGGAGGGUGAUGCAAGGACACGCUGGUGCUAAUGUGGUACCUUUAGUGGCGUCAAACCGCAUUGGAAAGGAGAUAAUUGAGACAGAGCAUGGGAAUAGUGAGAUAACAUUCUACGGCUACUCUUUCAUAGCAGGCCCCACUGGGGAGUUGGUUGCAGCUGCCGGUGAUAAAGAGGAAGCUGUUCUUGUAGCUCAGUUUGAUCUGGACAAAAUCAAGUCCAAAAGGCAUGGUUGGGGGGUGUAUCGUGAUCGACGUCCUGAUUUAUAUAAGGUUCUUUUGACGCUAGAUGGCAGCAACCCAGUCAAGUGAUUCAAGAUGAUCUAAGUACUGCAGAUUCUCCUGCCUUUUUUUUUAAAAAUUAUAAGAAUAAAAAUAUGAGGACUCAAAUGAGAAAUUUGUAUUUGAGUUUUGUUGUAAUGUAACUCGUUAAUUUCUGUAAUCUGCUGCAUUCUACUUUUUAUGUAAGGCAAAAUUUGUUGAGUUUGAAUCCUGCAACG
rnacentral:misc_RNA from 1 species